ACAGGAGUAAAUCUAUGGCUGAUUCACGCUGAUAUUUGGUAGAAACCAAUACAAUACUGUAAAGCAAUUAUCCUUCAAUUAAAAAUAAAUUUUAAAAAAGAAAAAAGGAAUGUAAGCUGCUAACUGGUAUUUUUUACUCAUUUAUUUUUGGCUGCGCUAGGUCUUCGUUGCUGUGAGGGCUUUCUCUGGUUGUGGUGAGUGGGGACUAGUCUCUAGUCGCGGUGCAGGGGCCUCUCAUAGCAGUGGCUUCUUUUGUUGCAGAUCAAGGGCUCUAGAGCCCUUUGGCUUCAGUAGUUGGGACAUGUGGGCUUAACUGCUCCACAGUAUGAGGAAUCUUCCCAGACCAGGGGCUCAACCCAUGUCCCCUGCCUUGGCAGGCAGAUUCUUAACCAUUGGACCACCAGGGAAGUCCCUCUGCAAUGAUUUCCUGACUACAAUUUUCUCUUCUUGUUCUUUUUAUUUGGCUCGUUUUCUAUAUUAUCAGAUAUUGAAUGCAUCGUUUUAAAGUUAUAAUAUUUUAAGCAUUGCUCACAUAGGCUGCAGUUAUAAUACAAAUAAUUAGUAAGCAGGACUUAAGAGUGAAGAAGAUGCUCUUACAACUGACUGUGUCCACACAGGUACCAGUGUAACCUUGCCUGGCUACCUGGCUUUUAGGUCAUAAGGCUGGAAACAAGGAUAUUCUCUCUGCACAUGUUGGGAACUUCUAAAUCCAUCUCGACAUAGUUUCAGCUCCACCUCAGUCGAUGCUCUGAGAGGUCCAGGAGUUUCUGCAAGCCCUGAAAUCUGGUUAUGGAGUUUGCAGCUAUUUUUCUCCACGAAGCAGUGAAGAGAAUGCAGGGAGAUGUGACUCAAAGGAGAUGUUUUGUUUUUCAAAGUGGGAGAUAUCUGAGCGUGCGGUUUGCUGAUGGGAAUAACCCAGCAGGGCGGGGCACGAUGCCGAAAACCACAGAAGAGAAAUCCGCUGGAAAAGGAAGGUGUGAGCCCCGGAGCUCGGAUGGACGGGUGGACUUUGAACAGGGAGACAGACGGUGGGCGACCACGGAGCCAGGCAUCCUGUCUCUUUUUCUCAACGAACACCCAGCACAUGGUGCUGGAAGGUGUUCAAUAAAAUUGGUGUUGGCUGAAUGAAUGAG
rnacentral:lncRNA from 1 species